rnacentral:rRNA from 1 species
AUUGAACGCUGGCGGCAUGCCUUACACAUGCAAGUCGAACGGCAGCACGGGAGCAAUCCUGGUGGCGAGUGGCGAACGGGUGAGUAAUAUAUCGGAACGUGCCCAGUCGUGGGGAUAACGUAGCGAAAGCUACGCUAAUACCGCAUACGAUCUAUGGAUGAAAGCGGGGGAUCGCAAGACCUCGCGCGAUUGGAGCGGCCGAUAUCAGAUUAGGUAGUUGGUGAGGUAAAGGCUCACCAAGCCGACGAUCUGUAGCUGGUCUGAGAGGACGACCAGCCACACUGGGACUGAGACACGGCCCAGACUCCUACGGGAGGCAGCAGUGGGGAAUUUUGGACCAAUGGGCGCAAGCCUGAUCCAGCAAUGCGCGUGCAGGAUGAAGGCCU